GUCGAGCGAGGGAAGGUUGCUUCGGUAACUGACCUAGCGGCGGACGGGUGAGUAAUGCUUAGGAAUCUGCCAUUUAGUGGGGGACAACAUUCCGAAAGGAAUGCUAAUACCGCAUACGUCCUACGGGAGAAAGCAGGGGAUCUUCGGACCUUGCGCUAAAUGAUGAGCCUAAGUCGGAUUAGCUAGUUGGUGGGGUAAAGGCCUACCAAGGCGACGAUCUGUAGCGGGUCUGAGAGGAUGAUCCGCCACACUGGGACUGAGACACGGCCCAGACUCCUACGGGAGGCAGCAGUGGGGAAUAUUGGACAAUGGGCGGAAGCCUGAUCCAGCCAUGCCGCGUGUGUGAAGAAGGCCUUAUGGUUGUAAAGCACUUUAAGCGAGGAGGAGGCUACUUAGAUUAAUACUCUAGGAUAGUGGACGUUACUCGCAGAAUAAGCACCGGCUAACUCUGUGCCAGCAGCCGCGGUAAUACAGAGGGUGCGAGCGUUAAUCGGAUUUACUGGGCGUAAAGCGUGCGUAGGCGGCUUUUUAAGUCGGAUGUGAAAUCCCCGAGCUUAACUUGGGAAUUGCAUUCGAUACUGGGAAGCUAGAGUAUGGGAGAGGAUGGUAGAAUUCCAGGUGUAGCGGUGAAAUGCGUAGAGAUCUGGAGGAAUACCGAUGGCGAAGGCAGCCAUCUGGCCUAAUACUGACGCUGAGGUACGAAAGCAUGGGGAGCAAACAGGAUUAGAUACCCUGGUAGUCCAUGCCGUAAACGAUGUCUACUAGCCGUUGGGGCCUUUGAGGCUUUAGUGCGCAGCUAACGCGAUAAGUAGACCGCCUGGGGAGUACGGUCGCAAGACUAAAACUCAAAUGAAUUGACGGGGGCCCGCACAAGCGGUGGAGCAUGUGUUUAAUUCGAUGCAACGCGAAGAACCUUACCUGGCCUUGA
rnacentral:rRNA from 1 species